rnacentral:rRNA from 1 species
UGUAUAAUGGGUCAGCGACUUAUAUUCUGUAGCAAGGUUAACCGAAUAGGGGAGCCGAAGGGAAACCGAGUCUUAACUGGGCGUUAAGUUGCAGGGUAUAGACCCGAAACCCGGUGAUCUAGCCAUGGGCAGGUUGAAGGUUGGGUAACACUAACUGGAGGACCGAACCGACUAAUGUUGAAAAAUUAGCGGAUGACUUGUGGCUGGGGGUGAAAGGCCAAUCAAACCGGGAGAUAGCUGGUUCUCCCCGAAAGCUAUUUAGGUAGCGCCUCGUGAAUUCAUCUCCGGGGGUAGAGCACUGUUUCGGCAAGGGGGUCAUCCCGACUUACCAACCCGAUGCAAACUGCGAAUACCGGAGAAUGUUAUCACGGGAGACACACGGCGGGUGCUAACGUCCGUCGUGAAGAGGGAAACAACCCAGACCGCCAGCUAAGGUCCCAAAGUCAUGGUUAAGUGGGAAACGAUGUGGGAAGGCCCAGACAGCCAGGAUGUUGGCUUAGAAGCAGCCAUCAUUUAAAGAAAGCGUAAUAGCUCACUGGUCGAGUCGGCCUGCGCGGAAGAUGUAACGGGGCUAAACCAUGCACCGAAGCUGCGGCAGCGACGCUUAUGCGUUGUUGGGUAGGGGAGCGUUCUGUAAGCCUGUGAAGGUGUACUGUGAGGUAUGCUGGAGGUAUCAGAAGUGCGAAUGCUGACAUAAGUAACGAUAAAGCGGGUGAAAAGCCCGCUCGCCGGAAGACCAAGGGUUCCUGUCCAACGUUAAUCGGGGCAGGGUGAGUCGACCCCUAAGGCGAGGCCGAAAGGCGUAGUCGAUGGGAAACAGGUUAAUAUUCCUGUACUUGGUGUUACUGCGAAGGGGGGACGGAGAAGGCUAUGUUGGCCGGGCGACGGUUGUCCCGGUUUAAGCGUGUAGGCUGGUUUUCCAGGCAAAUCCGGAAAAUCAAGGCUGAGGCGUGAUGACGAGGCACUACGGUGCUGAAGCAACAAAUGCCCUGCUUCCAGGAAAAGCCUCUAAGCAUCAGGUAACAUCAAAUCGUACCCCAAACCGACACAGGUGGUCAGGUAGAGAAUACCAAGGCGCUUGAGAGAACUCGGGUGAAGGAACUAGGCAAAAUGGUGCCGUAACUUCGGGAGAAGGCACGCUGAUAUGUAGGUGAAGUCCCUCGCGGAUGGAGCUGAAAUCAGUCGAAGAUACCAGCUGGCUGCAACUGUUUAUUAAAAACACAGCACUGUGCAAACACGAAAGUGGACGUAUACGGUGUGACGCCUGCCCGGUGCCGGAAGGUUAAUUGAUGGGGUUAGCGGUAACGCGAAGCUCUUGAUCGAAGCCCCGGUAAACGGCGGCCGUAACUAUAACGGUCCUAAGGUAGCGAAAUUCCUUGUCGGGUAAGUUCCGACCUGCACGAAUGGCGUAAUGAUGGCCAGGCUGUCUCCACCCGAGACUCAGUGAAAUUGAACUCGCUGUGAAGAUGCAGUGUACCCGCGGCAAGACGGAAAGACCCCGUGAACCUUUACUAUAGCUUGACACUGAACAUUGAGCCUUGAUGUGUAGGAUAGGUGGGAGGCUUUGAAGUGUGGACGCCAGUCUGCAUGGAGCCGGCCUUGAAAUACCACCCUUUAAUGUUUGAUGUUCUAACGUUGGCCCCUGACCGGGGUUGCGGACAGUGUCUGGUGGGUAGUUUGACUGGGGCGGUCUCCUCCUAAAGAGUAACGGAGGAGCACGAAGGUUGGCUAAUCCUGGUCGGACAUCAGGAGGUUAGUGCAAUGGCAUAAGCCAGCUUGACUGCGAGCGUGACGGCGCGAGCAGGUGCGAAAGCAGGUCAUAGUGAUCCGGUGGUUCUGAAUGGAAGGGCCAUCGCUCAACGGAUAAAAGGUACUCCGGGGAUAACAGGCUGAUACCGCCCAAGAGUUCAUAUCGACGGCGGUGUUUGGCACCUCGAUGUCGGCUCAUCACAUCCUGGGGCUGAAGUAGGUCCCAAGGGUAUGGCUGUUCGCCAUUUAAAGUGGUACGCGAGCUGGGUUUAGAACGUCGUGAGACAGUUCGGUCCCUAUCUGCCGUGGGCGCUGGAGAACUGAGGGGGGCUGCUCCUAGUACGAGAGGACCGGAGUGGACGCAUCACUGGUGUUCGGGUUGUCAUGCCAAUGGCACUGCCCGGUAGCUAAAUGCGGAAGAGAUAAGUGCUGAAAGCAUCUAAGCACGAAACUUGCCCCGAGAUGAGUUCUCCCUGACUCCUUGAGAGUCCUGAAGGAACGUUGAAGACGACGACGUUGAUAGGCCGGGUGUGUAAGCGCAGCGAUGCGUUGAGCUAACCGGUACUAAUGAACCGUGAGGCUUAACCUUACAACGCCGAAG